AGUGAACGCUGGCGGUAGGCCUAACACAUGCAAGUCGAACGGCAGCACAGUAAGAGCUUGCUCUUACGGGUGGCGAGUGGCGGACGGGUGAGGAAUACAUCGGAAUCUACUUUUUCGUGGGGGAUAACGUAGGGAAACUUACGCUAAUACCGCAUACGACCUACGGGUGAAAGCAGGGGAUCCUCGGACCUUGCGCGAUUGAAUGAGCCGAUGCCGGAUUAGCUAGUUGGUGGGGUAAGGGCCCACCAAGGCGACGAUCCGUAGCUGGUCUGAGAGGAUGAUCAGCCACACUGGAACUGAGACACGGUCCAGACUCCUACGGGAGGCAGCAGUGGGGAAUCUUGGGCAAUGGGCGCAAGCCUGAUCCAGCCAUACCGCGUGGGUGAAGAAGGCCUUCGGGUUGUAAAGCCCUUUUGUUGGGAAAGAAAAGCAGCAGAUUAAUACCCCGCUGUUCUGACGGUACCCAAAGAAUAAGCACCGGCUAACUUCGUG
rnacentral:rRNA from 1 species